rnacentral:snoRNA from 1 species
CCUGCUUCUCACGUAAAGACUCUUCUGUUCUUGGAUGUUAUGUCUCAUGUGUGUCAGUAGGUGGCAGAGAAGGGAGAAGCUAUGUCUAUGCUCUGACCUAUGGAUGUCUGAAUGAUUAGCAGCCUAACAUU